CAUAACCCACCUUCUUCCUCUUCUUUUUUUUUUCUCGUUCUCUUCCUCUCCCUCACGCUCCACCCAGCGCCGCUGCUUCCCAGGCAGUGCCGUCGCUCUCCCCUGCGCCUGCUGCCACGCCCCACUCCGGCGACCCUUCUAGCCGCCGCCCCGCAACCGUCGCCGGCCUGAAUCGGUUUCUUGGCUCCUCGCUUCUCUGCCCCUAAGCUAAUCCCAGCCACCGGUCUCUUGCUGCUGCAGCCGCCGUGGAGAUGGCCGGUGGAAACACAGCGCACGCAACUCCGGUGGCUGCAUCCCUUUCCCCCAUAGAUUACCUUGUUUGAUGGUCCUACUGUGGCUGUGGAAGACUGAUGAUCAUGUGACUCUCUGGUUCUACAGCUUCUUCUGGAAUUGGUCAGGGUGUUGCUCUCCUCCUCUUGUUUACUGCUGCUCUUCUGGAUUCUGCUACUUGUUUCUCCUCCUUAAAUUGAAACCCCUUGCUCUUCUUGAAACACAUGCAUCCCCUUUCUUUUCCUUCUACUCACUCACCCUGGUUGUUUUUCUAUGGCUGCUGCUAUUGAGAUAUGGUGUAACUGUGGUGCCGGAUUACUAGCUACUGCUCUGCUAUUUCUCUCUUUUGAGGUGGUUUUCCAGAUGAAUUGCUUGCUGCUAUUGCUGUUGUGGCUGAGGCUACUGCGCCAUGGCUGUCCCCUAUGCUUGUUUCUGGGAGCAAUGGCAUGGUGUGAAGGGAAGACAUGGUUGGGUUUAUUUUGGGGAGAUUUUGACUAGUGACUCACCUACCUCAUGCAGGAAGAAUGCAUGCUUGAAUCCUGGGCGUGCGUCCCGUCGAAGCGACAGAUGAGGCACUCUUGGUGGAUACCUGCGAAGAACCUUUACCUGAAUUUGCAAGUCGUGGGGGAGGUGGUUUUGGCGCUGUAAAAACUCCGGACGCAACUGGUCGCUUGCUCGUUGGUGGAGGCGCCCAGAAAGAGAUAGGCUCGGGUAGCCUCUAAGAUGGCUUCGCCCGCGGCGUGUGUGUGCUCGCCUUGUUCUUAACCUGUUGAUCACCCCCUGCAAUUACUUCUCUGCAAGCAUAGCAAACUGAAACAACUGGUUGACAGUUUUAAAUUCCUUAUUAUCAACUAUGUCCUGAAUUUCGCACCUCAAUUCCGAGUAAAAAUGACAAAUAGAAUCUUCGGUUCCCUCCA